UUUGUCACUAGAUGGCGGCAGCAGCUAGAGUGCGAUAGUACGUGUAUAAUAAUCGUCCACACACAGCAAUGGAGUCCAGUAUAGAACACAUGGCUCGGUAUGUGAGCCCAGUGAAUCCAGCAAUCUACCCGCACCUGACAGUCGUACUCCUAGGCAUCGGAAUCUUCUUCAUGGCAUGGUUUUUCGUAUAUGAAGUAACGUCAACAAAAUUCACACGUGACAUUUUCAAGGAGUUGCUAGUGUCCCUAUUUGCUGCUAUCUUCAUGGGUGUUGGAAUCCUUUUCCUGCUCUUGUGGGUUGGCAUCUAUGUCUGAUGUUUUUUCUGUGAGGUUAUUGAGGAGGAUAACAAAGUUUAUAAAGUGACCUGCAGGUGACGGGCUCUGUCGGCAGAAGGAGUAUUCAUCGCAUUCCAUUGGGUAUCUUUGUUCUAUCUGUCACCAAGGAUUCUAUCAUCAUGCCACGCCAGAUUCUCUGACUGCUGCUGUAAGGGUGGCACUUACAGUGCCAUUUUCACAAUGCAUUUCAUCGACGAUGGGUGUAAGAGUUGCCCGUGCAUCAACAAAGCUUGCUGUACGGUGUGUAUUUUGUUUCAAAAUGCAUUAACAAAAUUUCCCCUGAUACAUGAUCUAACAUGGAUGCAAACCAUGCCUCGUCGAAAAUUCGCAGUCUUGAUGUGUAUUUAAUCAACUCGCAUGAAUCAAUAAUUUAUUGCCAUGUGCGAAUACAACUCCAGUGGUAAACUCUGAAUUCUCAUCUGUCGAUCAGUUAUUUAAUGAAAAGAUGGAAACUUUUUGAAGCGAUUUGUGUGAGAAUUGGUACAUAGUACAACAUGAGUAUCCAGCAUGCCUAAAGGAUAUGCCCGUUCUUGCUCUUCUUUGUAUGAUUGAAUAUGUAUGUGUGAGUUUCUCUACUAUAUUGUGUGACGAAGAAUAAAUUCUAAAAGCCUGAAAAAUUAUGUGUACAUUUUUAGAAAUCAAAUUUUCGUCUUGCUUGUUUUUUUUUACCCUAAACAUGUAUGUUUUGCUAUCUAUUAAAAUAUUUUGUUGAAUGA